AAACACAGGAUGCCUCAGUACGGCGAGUGAAGCGGCAACAGCUCAGAUUUGAAAUCUGGCCCUCCCAGGGCCCGAGUUGUAAUCUGCAGAGGAUGCUUCGGGCGUGGCGCCGGUCUAAGUUCCUUGGAACAGGACGUCCGAGAGGGUGAGAAUCCCGUACGUGACCGUGCGCCCUCGUCCAAGUGUGAAGCUCCUUCGACGAGUCGAGUUGUUUGGGAAUGCAGCUCCAAAUGGGUGGUAAAUUUCAUCUAAAGCUAAAUAUGGGCCAGAGACCGAUAGCGCACAAGUAGAGUGAUCGAAAGAUGAAAAGCACUUUGGAAAGAGAGUUAAACAGCACGUGAAAUUGUUGAAAGGGAAGCGCUGGCCGCCAGACGUGCGCGCGGCCGAUCACCCGGGGCUCGUCCCCGGGGCACGCGGGCGCGCGCAGGCCCGCAUCGGUUCGGGUGGUCGGAUACAGGCCGCGGGAAUGUAGCGCCCCUCGGGGCGUGUUAUAGCCCGCAUUGCCUUGCGACCCACUGGGACCGAGGACCGCGCUUCGGCUAGGAUGCGGGCGUAAUGGCGGUCAGCGACCCGUCUUGAAACACGGACCAAGGAGUCUAAUAUCCAUGCGAGUAUUUGGGUGCCAAACCCGGAUGCGCAAUGAAAGUGAACGGAGGUGAGACCCCGCCAGGGCGCAUCAUCGACCGAUCCUGAUGUCCUCGGAUGGAUUUGAGUAGGAGCAUGGCUGUUGGGACCCGAAAAAGAGUGAACUUUACGUGAAUAGGGUGAAGUCAGAGGAAACUCUGAUGGAGGCUCGCAGCGGUUCUGACGUGCAAAUCGAUCGUCAAAUUUGCGUAAAGGGGCGAAAGACUAAUCGAACUUUUUAGUAGCUGGUUCCUGUCGAAGUUUCCCUCAGGAUAGCAGUGUUGUCGGCAGUUUUAUGAGGUAAAGCGAAUGAUUAGAGGCCUUGGGGUCGCAACGACCUUAACCUAUUCUCAAACUUUAAAUAUGUAAGAAGUCCCCGUUGCUUCGGUGAACGCGGACCGUCGAUGC
rnacentral:rRNA from 1 species